rnacentral:rRNA from 1 species
GAUGAACGCUAGCGAUAGGCUUAACACAUGCAAGUCGAGGGGCAGCACAAGGUAGCUUGCUAUCUGGGUGGCGACCGGCGCACGGGUGCGUAACGCGUAUGCAACUUGCCCUAUACAGGAGGAUAACCCGUCGAAAGACGGACUAAUACUGCGUAUGCUCACAACUUGGCAUCAAGUGGUGAGGAAAGAAAUUCGGUAUAGGAUAGGCAUGCGUCCCAUUAGCUUGUUGGUGAGGUAACGGCUCACCAAGGUAACGAUGGGUAGGGGAACUGAGAGGUUUAUCCCCCACACUGGUACUGAGACACGGACCAGACUCCUACGGGAGGCAGCAGUGAGGAAUAUUGGUCAAUGGGCGCGAGCCUGAACCAGCCAAGUCGCGUGAAGGAUGACUGUCUUAUGGAUUGUAAACUUCUUUUAUACGGGAAUAACAAGAGUCACGUGUGACUCCCUGCAUGUACCGUAUGAAUAAGCAUCGGCUAACUCCGUG